CAUUUGGAAACUCACUACAAAGAUAGGAACUGUCAAAUCGUCCACUUUUACUAAUGUUUACUUUCGACGUACGACUACGAUCCGCGGAAUCGCGACGUUCGUUUUCUCGAUAUCGCGGCGAAAUCACGGGUCAAAAUUGUGUCCGGCGGUGGGAAGUUCCCGAAAUGUGCACGGAUCAUCGAUUCACCUGCAUUGGUCGGUUGUCUUCCACUGGGAUGUUUGGGAAUCGGCCUGGGAGAACUUCCCUCUGCUGAGGCAAUUAUGCCGUUUGCCAGGGUUUUGUAGUAGCUGUACAUCCAUUGAUGACCGCGUCCGGACAAUUGAAUGCAUUAGACUGUGAAUCGACCGCGAAGGUUCCUGCGAGUGGGAUGAAACGAUUCGCCAGCGGAGCUGGUCCCAAUCGAGGAUGUUUUUCAUUAACCUCCGAAUGAUUGAAAAUCGGAGAAAAGCUGUAUCGAAAAUUGAGUAAACUUUCUUUUUUUUUU